rnacentral:lncRNA from 10 species
GAGACUUUCAUGGACGUAGGUAGAAGCUAGGAAGCAUGAAGAAAGAGAGGAAUACAUUCAUAGAUAAAUUGCUUGGAAAUAAUUUUUAAAGUAUUAAAUUAUUUAAAUAAAUUUGUUUUAAACCUAUUUAUAAUUCUAAUGGUAGAAAUUGCUCAUUUCUGAAAUCCCAAUUUGGAAAAUACAGCAAAAGCUAAAAUGUCUGGAAUGAGUAGAGAUUUAGAUAUAUUAAAUAAUAGAAUAUAUAUAAAUUAUAAUAUUCAAAUAAUCGGAAUAUUGCAUCAUAUUUACUAUUAAAACUUAACUUGAAUGUGUACAUUAUUGUUAGAUAAAAGGAUUUUAUGGUCUUUCCAUUUUGUAGAUUAUUUCCAUUUUGUAGAUUAUUGGUCAUUUACAAAAUCAAAGCAAACUUUCUUACACAUAACAUCAGAUCAUAUUUACUUGAGAUGAAAAAUAUGUGAAAUACACAAAAGCCUAAAAUCUUAGAAUUAGUGGGAGCCUGAACUUCCAUCUAGUCUAAACCUUUUAUUUUAUAGACGAAAAGUGUUCUAAGAAUUGGUAGUCAAAUUCAAAAAUCAGUUAAAGUCAGAACAUAAAGUCAGAAGAAAGUUGUGAUUGGGAGAUUAAAAAAAUUGAGUUAGUAAUCACGAACCAGUCUGAAGAUUGUAAUUAGGUGUACCGUGAAAGCAAUAGGUAACAAUGUGACAAGGACAAGAACUUCCAGUCCAGCCUGGAUGUGUAUCUCAGCCCUAUCAGAUUUUAACUUUGUGAGUUUGGUAGAGACGGGGUUCCACCGUGUUUGCUAGGAUGGUCUCGAUCUCCUGACCUCGUGAUCUGCCCGCCUCGGCCUCACAAAGUGCUGGGAUUACAGGCGUGAGUCACUGUGCCUGGCCUGGUAAGUCUAUUUUAUCUCUACAUAUGCCCACCUAUUUAGAUUUAUUAAAAACUCUUCUCAUGUCACAUUGAGAAUUUAACACUAUUACAAGUGUCAUAUACAGCUUCAAACCCAACAGUGACUCAAAUCUGGUUGUUUUUUAUCUAUAAGAGCAUGUAAACAUAGUUGCCCAGCUUCACCCUCCCAGUAUUUCACUAAGUAGCUCAAAAUCAUCUGGGAAUAACUUUUUUUUCCUCUAACUUCUCUCCCUUAACUCUAGAUCAGCCCUCUGGACUAUCCAUUAGGUGGCACUGCAAAUCUCUGGAUAGUUG